AUUUUCUUAUGGCAGCACCCAAACAAUGUAAACAUAAAACUAGAAUUUUAUCUGUCAUUGGAAUGCCAGAGGCUCUGGAGUUCAGAGCAGACCUUUGUAAACCAAAUGAGUGCAGUCCAGUAUAUCAAUGCACUCUCCUCAUAAUUUUCCAAUCUUUUUAGUGAAAUAUGUUUAGCCUUUCUGGUGUAAAAGUUUUGCUUGUGACCAUUGUUCACCCCCCAUAAACAAAGCAACCACCUGUUAUUUAAAACUGGAGUAACAGAAGGACUGAGCACCUUCAACCUACUGAAAUCAAUGCUAGUUCAGUUUCUAUACAGUCUUGUGAGUCUGACCUUCAUCUCAUUUUUCCUUUCAUCCAAAGCUGACUGUAAAAUUUGGUUCAAAGGAAUAAAGAAGUGAAAGACAUUUCUGGUCUGGAUGGCAGUGGAAGAGCUCAAUCUCUACAGAAAAUCAGAAGCAUUCCAGUGGAGCUUGACAACCAGAGCAGACUUGAGGCAGACAAGAAAUGGAAGCCACCAUUAGCCAGAACAACACUGUUAACAAGAAACAUUAGGCCACCUCUUUGGAAUUGGAAUAUAUGCCAGACACUUGACACAAGGUUCUAUCAAGCAAAAACAAAGUACAAAUCAGAGGGUCACCAGCAGUUUGAUGGAGCCACCCAAGAUCUGGGAAAGAGAACCAACCUGCCAUGUCUCAGUUUUUGUAGUUUCCAGCUGUGGCUGUGGCUGGAAGGGUGAUGCAUAGCACUGCUAGUGAAUUACAUUACAGAAAUUACUAACAUGCAUGAGGAAGGAUGCCUGAGCCACUCCUUCAAUCAAUGAGCAAUAUCUCCAAAGAGCACUCUCUUCUCCUAUGCCCAAGGCCCUAGGAACAAGGGAAGUGCCACGAGAAAGACUGGGUCCACAGGUCAUCUCUUUCAUACCACAAACACCCCUGUCCUUACUUACUCUGUGAAUUUGGGAAAAAAAAAUAAUGGUGUCUGGGUGCUUCACAAAAGGAAGUGAAAAAUUCCAAAGCAGACAGGAAACACCACACUGCAAUGAAGCCAGCCUUGUGACAAGGGAACAUCCCCUUAUGGACAGACCUUGAGAACGCAAACAAUUUUACAUGUAAGCACUUGAACACACAUACACACGUGUGCAUAUAUACACACACACACAUAAGCAUCUUCCACAAGUCUCAGAGGUUAGAGUUUGACACACUGAACCUUGGGCUGGACCUGGACAAUACUUCUGGUUUUGUGACUAAUGCAAAUUUAAGGUCAUUCUCAGAAUUUUGAGAAUAAUCCUGCACUUGUGAACUUCUCACUCUGGGUUGAAGUGCUCUGUCUGCAAUUACUUCAGAGUGUCAGGGUUGUGAGGGUUAUUCUAGUUACUCAUAAAGUAAAAAGGAGUUAGGGUAAUUGUCUUAUUUUCCACCUGCAAGCUCAUUUUUACAAUAGUUUAUCUUCAUAUUGAGAGCAGUGAAAAAAUAUGGUAUUCAUAUCAAUAUAUUAAUAUUAGUCUCACAUAUUAAUUAAAGUAUAAUAAAUUAACAACACAGAAUUAGAAAUUGCA
ensembl:lncRNA